CGGCACGGGUGAGUAACGCGUAUGCGACCUGCCCGUUGCAGGGGGGAUAAUCGGGAGAAAUCCCGUCUAAUACCGCGUAACGCCGCGGGGCUGCAUGGCCCUGCGGCCAAAGGGAGCGAUUCCGGCAACGGAUGGGCAUGCGUGACAUUAGCUAGUUGGCGGGGCAACGGCCCACCAAGGCGACGAUGCCUAGGGGUUCUGAGAGGAAGGUCCCCCACACUGGUACUGAAACACGGACCAGACUCCUACGGAAGGCAGCAG
rnacentral:rRNA from 1 species